AGUGAACGCUGGCGGCGUGCCUAAUACAUGCAAGUCGAACGGAGUGGCGCACGGGUGAGUAAUAUAUAGCUAAUCUGCCCCUUGCUGGAGGACAACAGUUAGAAAUGACUGCUAAUACUCCAUAGCAAGGGAUGAGACUAUAUCGUAUCAGCUAGUCGGUGGGGUAACGGCCUACCGAGGCUAUGACGCGUAACUGGUCUGCGAUGAUGAUCAGCAACAUUUGACCGGAGACAUGGUUCAAAGUCCUACGGGAGGUAGCAGUAGGGUAUAUUGGGCAAGGGGGGAAACCCUGACGCAGCUACGCAGCGUGGAGGAUGACACUUUUCGGAGCGUAAACUCCUUUUGUUAGGGAAGCGGUACCUAACGAAUAAGCACCGGCUAACUCCGUGCCAGCAGCCGCGGUAAUAC
rnacentral:rRNA from 1 species